CCUACGGGAGGCAGCAGUGAGGAAUAUUGGUCAAUGGACGAGAGUCUGAACCAGCCAAGUAGCGUGAAGGAUGACUGCCCUAUGGGUUGUAAACUUCUUUUAUAUGGGAAUAAAAUGUUCCACGUGUGGGAUUUUGUAUGUACCAUAUGAAUAAGGAUCGGCUAACUCCGUGCCAGCAGCCGCGGUAAUACGGAGGAUCCGAGCGUUAUCAGGAUUGAUUGGGUUUAAAGGGAGCGUAGGUGGAUUGUUAAGUCAGUUGUGAAAGUUUGCGGCUCAACCGUAAAAUUGCAGUUGAAACUGGCAGUCUUGAGUACAGUAGAGGUGGGCGGAAUUCGUGGUGUAGCGGUGAAAUGCUUAGAUAUCACGAAGAACUCCGAUUGCGAAGGCAGCUCACUGGACUGCAACUGACACUGAGGCUCGAAAGUGUGGGUAUCAAACAGGAUUAGAUACCCGUGUAGUC
rnacentral:rRNA from 1 species